rnacentral:rRNA from 1 species
AUUGAACGCUGGCGGCAGGCCUAACACAUGCAAGUCGAGCGAGCGGCGGACGGGUGAGUAAUGUAUGGGGACCUGCCUGAUAGAGGGGGAUAACUACUGGAAACGGUUGCUAAUACCGCAUACCAUCGGAUGAACCCAGACGGGAUUAGAUAGUAGGUGGGGUAAAGGCUCACCAAGGCGACGAUCCCUAGCUGGUCUGAGAGGAUGAUCAGCCACACUGGAACUGAGACACGGUCAAGACUCCUACGGGAGGCAGCCGUGGGGAAUAUUGAACAAUGGGCGCAAGCCGGAUGCAGCCAAGCCGCGUGUAUGAAGAAGGCCUUAGGGUUGUAAAGUCCUUUCAGAGGAGAGGCGGUACCCGCAGAAGAAACGCCGGCUAACUCCGUGCCAGCAGCCGCGGUAAUAC